rnacentral:rRNA from 1 species
GACGAAGGAUGCAAGCGUUAUCCGGAUUCAUUGGGUUUAAAGGGAGCGUAGGUGGUCUUCUAAGUCAGUGGUGAAAUCUCGAGGCUUAACCUUGAAAUUGCCAUUGAUACUGGAGGACUUGAGUAUAGUUGCCGUUGGCGGAAUAUGACAUGUAGUGGUGAAAUACAUAGAGAUGUCAUAGAACACCGAUUGCGAAGGCAGCUAACGAAACUAUAACUGACACUGAGGCUCGAAAGUGCGGGGAUCAAACAGG